rnacentral:rRNA from 1 species
GACGAACGCUGGCGGCGUGCUUAACACAUGCAGGUCGAACGGAAAGGCCCUGCUUUUGUGGGGUGCUCGAGUGGCGAACGGGUGAGUAACACGUGAGUAACCUGCCCUUGACUUUGGGAUAACUUCAGGAAACUGGGGCUAAUACCGGAUAGGAGCUCCUGCUGCAUGGUGGGGGUUGGAAAGUUUCGGCGGUUGGGGAUGGACUCGCGGCUUAUCAGCUUGUUGGUGGGGUAGUGGCUUACCAAGGCUUUGACGGGUAGCCGGCCUGAGAGGGUGACCGGCCACAUUGGGACUGAGAUACGGCCCAGACUCCUAUGGGAGGCAGCAGUGGGGAAUAUUGCACAAUGGGCGGAAGCCUGAUGCAGCAACGCCGCGUGCGGGAUGACGGCCUUCGGGUUGUAAACCGCUUUCGCCUGUGACGAAGCGUGAGUGACGGUAAUGGGUAAAGAAGCACCGGCUAACUACGUG